GCAAUGUUUGCUCCGGCAGAAAAAAUGAAAGUGAAAAUGGAUGACAGGAAAUAAGGUCGUUUACCUAGGACCAGAAUCCAAUUAUCAAAGGGGAAAUCAUUGCGAGUUAACCAGGAGGUGAUCACAUAUCCCACAGCUGUGAGAAUGGAUUGAUUUGUGAGAGAAUUGGCAGCUGGAGAAUGAUCUGUCCCACUGGCUUUGGCUGAUACUUUGAAUCCUGUUCCUCAUGCAGGAUUGCAUUUCCCUGCCUAAGUAUAGGCAGGAAGUAUAAGUGGGACAAGCUGAGAGGAAGUUAAGGUCGUGCAAUGAAAACUGGAGAAUAUUGGGAUGCAGGAAGCCCAUUCCUCUCCAGUCCUUCCCAGACCACCAAAGACACAGGAUGUGACCUGUGAACUGAAAAAGGAAAUGAGAGGCUGUGGAUUCAUUCUGAGUUAAGAAAAAUUAUAUUUGUUUAAGGAAGACAACCUGAGAAAUCUCCGAUAAGAAGAUUUCUUACCUGGAUCUCUAAGAUCUAUAUCCAGAACAGAUACAAGAUGAUGCCUGAUAUGAUCAAUUCUCAGGGCUUGAUCAUAACUCUAAAUUUUCUUUAGGUCCCCAAAAUAUUAUCAGUGCUCCAACCAGCCAGAAGUAGGCUGGAAUACUACACUCACAUUUCCCAAAAAUGGACUAUGGAUAUUCUUGUUUUCUCAAAAUAAAGAGGAUUAAGUAGUGGUAUGCAA